GAUGAACGCUGGCGGCGUGCCUAAUACAUGCAAGUCGAACGCACUGUGGUUCAACUGAUUUGAAGAGCUUGCUCUGAUAUGACGAUGAACAUUGCAGUGAGUGGCGAACGGGUGAGUAACACGUGGGAAACCUACCUCUUAGCGGGGGAUAACAUCUGGAAACAGAUGCUAAUACCGCAUAACACUAGCAACCGCAUGGUUGCUAUUUGAAAGAUGGUUCUGCUAUCACUAAGAGAUGGUCCCGCGGCGCAUUAGUUAGUUGGUGAGGUAAUGGCUCACCAAGACGAUGAUGCGUAGCCGAGUUGAGAGACUGAUCGGCCACAAUGGGACUGAGACACGGCCCAUACUCCUACGGGAGGCAGCAGUAGGGAAUCUUCCACAAUGGACGAAAGUCUGAUGGAGCAACGCCGCGUGUGUGAUGAAGGGUUUCGGCUCGUAAAACACUGUUGUAAGAGAAGAAUAGCAUUGAGAGUAACUGCUCAGUGUCUGACGGUAUCUUACCAGAAAGGAACGGCUAAAUACGUGCCAGCCGCCG
rnacentral:rRNA from 1 species